rnacentral:rRNA from 1 species
UACGUAGGGUGCAAGCGUUGUCCGGAAUUAUUGGGCGUAAAGAGCUCGUAGGCGGUUUGUCGCGUCUGCUGUGAAAACUCGGGGCUUAACCCCGGGCCUGCAGUGGGUACGGGCAGACUAGAGUGCGGUAGGGGAGACUGGAAUUCCUGGUGUAGCGGUGAAAUGCGCAGAUAUCAGGAGGAACACCUGCGGCGAAGGCGGGUUGCUGGGCCGACACUGACGCUGAUGCGCGAAAGCCAGGGGAGCGAACGGG